GAGAUGAACAUUAGAGAUACUAAUGUUUCAUAAAAGAGAUUAGAUUAUUAAUCGAGGUUUCUUUUAUAACUUCUCACCAAUUCUUCAUAACGAUGAAUGUCCUUUUGGGAAGUAACGACUUGAGGGAGAGAGUGACGUUACUCAUUGAUACAGAGACACAACGAGGUUGAGCUGAUGUGAUGAUGGUGCUGCAAUGAGCGGAGUCUCCAGGGUUGUUAAUAAAUAGUUAACCUGUCUAGAAUAUGUCUUCAUACAUAUGUCUAGCUACUUUCCGCUGCAAGAUGUUGUUGAUGUUAUAGUAUGUUAUGUCAUACUUUGAGUCUUAAGAGAAUGGUUGCAUAUGAUGUAUAACUUGAUUAAUGAUAUUAAUUAACUUUUAUGCAGUCUUUCAUAGACUGUUUUCAAUUGAGUAUUAAUGAAUAAAAAUGACGAGUUUUAUUAA